AUGAACGCUGGCGGCGUGCCUAAUACAUGCAAGUCGAGCGAACGGACGAGAAGCUUGCUUCUCUGAUGUUAGCGGCGGACGGGUGAGUAACACGUGGAUAACCUACCUAUAAGACUGGGAUAACUUCGGGAAACCGUAGCUAAUACCGGAUAAUAUUUUGAACCGCAUGGUUCAAAAGUGAAAGACGGUCUUGCUGUCACUUAUAGAUGGAUCCGCGCUGCAUUAGCUAGUUGGUAAGGUAACGGCUUACCAAGGCAACGAUGCAUAGCCGACCUGAGAGGGUGAUCGGCCACACUGGAACUGAGACACGGUCCAGACUCCUACGGGAGGCAGCAGUAGGGAAUCUUCCGCAAUGGGCGAAAGCCUGACGGAGCAACGCCGCGUGAGUGAUGAAGGUCUUCGGUUCGUAAAACUCUGUUAUUAGGGAAGAACAUAUGUGUAAGUAACUGUGCACAUCUUGACGGUACCUAAUCAGAAAGCCACGGCUAACUACGUG
rnacentral:rRNA from 1 species